rnacentral:lncRNA from 1 species
UUCAUCGACCUCGAUCUCCGCCGCAGGAUCAUCUCCUGGAUCUUCGAUCUCAAGAACACGCCUACAGCACCGGACCAAGAAUCCAAGACCCUACACGACGCUCUGCGCGGACAGAAGGUAUAGCACAAAAGAAGCGUCAACUCGCGAUGUUCGUUUGAAGUGGUCGGGUUGCAGAGUAAGAAGUGAUCUUUAACGAAUUCCCGGCCUGAUCUCGGUUCUACCUUUCGGUUAGGUGGAGUAGAUCGAAGCAGCAGCUAUCAGGAGACACCGAGUGCCAUGAGAGAUGCAACGCCGUGGACGGGGCGGAGAGCUUAAGUACGCAGCGCGAGAGCCAACCAAAGCCUCAGAGGUGCACUCAAACGCAACUGCAA